rnacentral:rRNA from 1 species
CAGUAGCCGCGGGAAUCCGUAGGGUGCAAGCGUUAAUCGGAAUUACUGGGCGUAAAGCGUGCGCAGGCGGUUAUAUAAGACAGAUGUGAAAUCCCCGGGCUCAACCUGGGACCUGCAUUUGUGACUGUAUAGCUAGAGUACGGUAGAGGGGGAUGGAAUUCCGCGUGUAGCAGUGAAAUGCGUAGAUAUGCGGAGGAGCACCGAUGGCGAAGGCAAUCCCCUGGACCUGUACUGACGCUCAUGCACGAAAGCGUGGGGAGCAAACAGGAUUAGAUACCCCAGUAGUCCCUGUCUCUUAUAC